rnacentral:rRNA from 1 species
UGAGGGUGCAAGCGUUAAUCGGAAUUACUGGGCGUAAAGCGAGUGUAGGCGGCUUCGUAAGUCGGAUGUGAAAGCCCCGGGCUCAACCUGGGAAUUGCAUUCGAUACUGCGCGGCUAGAGUCUGAUAGAGGGAAGUGGAAUUCCAGGUGUAGCGGUGAAAUGCGUAGAUAUCUGGAGGAACAUCAGUGGCGAAGGCGGCUUCCUGGAUCAAGACUGACGCUGAGGCUCGAAAGCGUGGGGAGCAAACAGGAUUAGAUACCCUGGUAGUCCCACGCCCUAAACGAUGUCAACUAGACGUUGGGCUCAUCAAGGAGCUUAGUGUCGAAGCUAACGCGUUAAGUUGACCGCCUGGGGAGUACGGCCGCAAGGCUG